GGAGAGGUAGAGGAGAAGAGAGGAUAGGAGAGGAGAGAUAGAGGAGAGGUAGAGGAGAAGAGAGGACAGGAGAGGAGAGGAGAGGUAGAGGUAGAAGAGAGAACAGGAGAGGAGAGGUAGAGGUAGAAGAGAGAACAGGAGAGGAGAGGUAGAGGUAGAAGAGAGGACAGGAGAAGAGAGGUAGAGCUAGAGGAGAAGAGAAGAGAGGACAGGAGAGUAGAGGAGAGGUAGAGGAGAAGAGAGGACAGGAGAGGAGAGGAGAGGUAGAUGUAGAAGAGAGGACAGGAGAAGAGAGGACAGGAGAGGAGAGGACAGGAGAGGAGAGGAGAGG
rnacentral:lncRNA from 1 species